AGUAAAUUAUCAGCAAAAGUUUUUUUUUUAAAGUGAACUACUCCUUUAAAUCUCAGACCGUCCGUAAACACUUGUAUUACCAAGGUAGCGACGGACGUGUUUAUAUUAUUUUCCAAAGAGUUCUGUCAUCAGCCCCACGGUGGAAAAUGAAACCAUAGAAUGGAACAGUUAAGUAAUGAGAACACUUUGGCCAGACAGUGGAAACGCGGCUAAAGAUUGACCAAAGUAAGUGAAGUACAAAUCCAUCAGUCACUGACUCAAUCUUCAGAGAUGAAAGUUGCUUAAAGCAGAUUCUGUAUAGUGAACUGGACGUCAUGUACACAUUAGAUGAAUGUGCCACUAUUAAUCACUAUUAAUGAUGUGCGCCCUUCAAGAAAACAUGCCUGGUAUACUCAAGCAUGCAAACUAGAGCCAUACUGUAUGAAGAAGACUUCAAAGGGUCUGGGUCAAUGCCUUAAUGGAGUAUUAUGCCAGAUUGGAUUCCCUUGUGUCAGUGGUCAGAGGAGAUGACAGUCCACAAGACAUCUACAAGAGUCAGUGUUAGUUAGGAACUGCUUCUUCUCUCAGAUACUUCUCAACUCCCAAUAGGCAUUCAAAUCAUUUGCCGUUGAACUUCGGGAUGUGGGAAAGCAAAGACAAAAUGUAGAACAAAUUCCAACUUAAGACAUCGAUCAAAAUGAUUCCUCACUCGGAGGAUCCUUUAAUGCUCAGAUCAAGGAUAUGCCACUGCAAGACACUGAAAUGAGGUUGCGGCGAAGGUUAAGUGAGUAAUUUCAGUGACAUUAACGCCACUAAAACUGUUUUUUCGUUGACAUAACAACAUUGAUUCCACCGAUACCUUGAGUUUGGGAUGGGACGCUCUGUCUGAACCAUGGGGUCGAGUUUUGUCUGUCUUUUUUCCUCAUUGACGACCAUUGAAGCUGUGUUCUCUGACAAAAUACAUUUUUAUUCCAAACAUUUUAGUAUAUGGUAGUUGUCGAGAAACUGCAUUUAAGCGCAAUUAUAAUGCUAAUGAAUGGGUUUCCGCUAGAUAUUUGAGAAGAAAUUGGACUUUUUUGCCAUUCUACUUAGUGCCGAUAAUGGCGUAUAAUGACAUACUUUAAUGACAAUGAGCAGCUGAUGCCCCAUAUUGUGGCAUUUGUGUGCAUAAUGAUGCACAUUUUUAUUUUCUUUCGAUCAUCAAACACAUGAUGAUCAUGACAACGAUUACUGCAGAAUAUACAAUGUGGGGCGAUUUGCACAAUUUUAAUUUAUAAUUGUUGUAGAUAUUGGUAAAUGCCUGUUGAGAUUUGUAAUGACUUUGUUUUGAGGUGUCUGCUAUAUGUGCACAUGGUGUAUAUUUUGUGCUUGUGUGUGCUUUGUGGAGAGUAAGAGAAACAUUUAGGUCCCGGUUUAGUGUUAAGUCAACUAAGAAGAAGAAUUGCUGGCAUUUUUUUGCAAAACUCAGACCAAUUUGCCUUUUGAGUGAAACUGGCUGAGAUAAAUGUGUUAAAGGUGAGGUAGCGGUGGAUGAAUCUUUGCCAAAAGGAAAUGCUUUAUCGCCACAAGGGAUCAAAGGCCGCGAUCUUAUUUGCCUGAGGUUGUCUGCCAAAGCAAAACAAGCCUGUUGGAUAUUUCAAACAGAUUUUUCAAAAUUGGCAUCAUCUAAUGUUAUCCAAGCAUGUGAGUAAUCGCGGAAGUCGAUAAAUCAUGCAUGCAUGGGUCCGUCUUCUAUAUCCAUGUGAGCGUAAGCCUCUGUUUCUUGGAGCCAAACUGAAGGGAUGCCAAAUUCUUCAGUGAGGGAAGCAAAGUGCCUGUUAUGCUCAUCUAUCUGCAUUUCAAACUUCAGACCCUCUUGGAAUGUCUAGGAAUGAACUUGUAAAAAGUAUCCCAAGAGAACCAGAGCCGUGCUUUGGAUGCAGAAGACAUGGAAAGCUGAAUCUAUGUAACAAAACAUGCAUUUUAUCAAUUGAACCAAUUAGUAAGCCUCUGAAUGGUGAUAAGGUCACAUCAAAAA